UACGGGAGGCAGCGGUGGGGAAUAUUGCACAAUGGGCGAAAGCCUGAUGCAGCUAUGCCGCGUGUAUGAAGAAGGCCUUAGGGUUGUAAAGUACUUUCAUCGGGGAGGAAAAACAAAACUAAUAAUUUUAUUUCUUGACGUUACCCGAAAAAGAAGCACCGGCUAACUCCGUGCCAGCAGCCGCGGUAAUACGGAGGGUGCUAGCGUUAAUCAGAAUUACUGGGCGUAAAGAGCACGUAGGUGGUUUUUUUAAGUUCAGAUGUGAAAUCCCUGGGCUUAACCUAGGAACUGCAUUUUGAAACUGAAAUACUAGAGUAUCGUAGAGGGAGGUAGAAUUCUAGGUGUAGCGGUGAAAUGCGUAGAUAUCUGGAGGAAUACCUGUGGCGAAAGCGGCCUCCUAAACGAAUACUGACACUGAGGUGCGAAAGCGUGGGGAGCAAACAGGGAUUAGAUACC
rnacentral:rRNA from 1 species